rnacentral:tRNA from 1 species
GGGCCGGUAGCUCAGUUGGUUAGAGCAUCUGACUUUUAAUCAGAGGGUCCUCGGUUCGAACCCGAGCCGGCUCACCA